rnacentral:rRNA from 1 species
UACGUAGGGUGCGAGCGUUGUCCGGAAUUAUUGGGCGUAAAGAGCUCGUAGGCGGCUUGUCGCGUCGGAUGUGAAAGCCCGGGGCUUAACUCCGGGUCUGCAUUCGAUACGGGCAGGCUAGAGGUCGGUAGGGGAGUGUGGAAUUCCUGGUGGAGCGGUGAAAUGCGCAGAUAUCAGGAGGAACACCCGUAGCGAAGGCGGCACUCUGGGCCGAUUCUGACACUGAGGAGCGAAAGCGUGGGGAGCGAACAGG